UACGGAGGAUGCGAGCGUUAUCCGGAUUUAUUGGGUUUAAAGGGUGCGUAGGCGGAUCGUUAAGUCAGUGGUCAAAUUGAGGGGCUCAACCCCUUCCCGCCAUUGAAACUGGCGUUCUUGAGUGGAAGAGAAGUAUGCGGAAUGCGUGGUGUAGCGGUGAAAUGCAUAGAUAUCACGCAGAACACCGAUUGCGAAGGCAGCUUACCAAGCUACUUCUGACGUUGAGGCACGAAAGCGUGGGGAGCAAACAGG
rnacentral:rRNA from 1 species